UAAAAUGGCUGAGCGUCAAGCGGUGGAUUGUAAUCCCAUGUACAGAGGUUAAACUCCUCUUUUUAU
rnacentral:tRNA from 2 species